GUUGAGUUUAUACAUGUCCUAUGUGAACAGAACUGCACUUGGCAGCUUUAUACAAUGCAAGUUCUGUUUUUAAAUCCAGCUGAUGCCUUUCUUUUUUAAAACGUAAAGGAAUGGACCUUGGAUAAAUGUUUUCAAUGAGAACACAUGGGCUAAAAUGUUUGUUUUAUCUUAAAGUCCAAGGUAAGAACAUUCAGGUCUCUAAAUUUGUGCAGCCAAGUAGGUUUGCAGCAUAUUUUUGCAACCAACAAUGUGGAAGUGCAAAGAAAGAUAUUCAAAUUAUGCUUAUUUCUAAUUACAGUAGAGCUGAAGCACACAGAGUAAUGCAGUACUGCAUAUGAUGGUGUAAAUUGUCUUUAAAAGACAAACUGUGAAUAUUUAGUUGCGUAACAAAAGUUUUAAAUGUGAUUUAGAACUGUUACACAAGUGCCUACAUCAGGAUCAUUGUAAAGUUUGCAAACAAAGUUGUUAAUAUGGCUUAUGUCACAAAAACUGUUUUUCUGAACUUCAACACUUUGUCAUCUCCCUUUAUUAAGUCUCUGCCAGAUCAUUUACCUUUGCAAUUCAUCAAGUUUAGAAUAUGCUUCAUUUGGCCAGGCCAGGGCUUGUCUCCCUGAAGAAUAAAUCCCAAACACAUCUUCUGUUUUAUGGAAGUCUACCAGUCAUUAAUCUAUGAACACAUGGGAUAAUAAGGCAAUCAAUUAUGCGGAAAAAGCACGCUUUUGCAAUUAUGGGCAAACAUUGGGAAGUUUUCCUUGGGGAUGUGCAGGGACAGUCAAAUUGAGGAUAAAUAUGCUGUUACUUUACUUUUUGAUCAAAUUUAUUUUCACUUAGUAGAUGAUGAAACACAGGCAGCACCACUCAGAUAUUCUUUAGAUUGUAAACAUCUAGUUGCAGUCUGAUGUGUUGUUUCAAGUGCACCUGUCUUUUGUCACAGAAACCCAAGUAGGAUGGAAAUUGAGGAGGUAGAUGAAGAGAUAUCAGUCAACCCCUACGAGACAGCCUUUGAUCCCUAUUCCUCCGCCCCAUCCCAAGAUCCAGAAGGUAGAAGAAAUCUCAAGAUUCAUCUCAAGGAAAUCUCAGAUUCGGCCUGCCUUUUUCUGUCCAGGCAUGAAGAUGCAUCUCUCUGGUGGCUGUCCUGAUGAACCUGGUGUGUGUGAGAAGCUUUGGUUGAGCGUAAUGUCCAGAGCAGCUUAAAAAUACACAAAAGUCUUUUUCUAUCAAUGUUCCAGUUUUCUGACUGGAUUCACCAUCCCAGCCUAGCAGAGCAUUCUGUUCAAGACUUGCUAAAGAAACAGCCUUUGACCUCUGACCUGUGCUUAAAGGAGGACAGAGAUUAAGAGGUUUGGAUGCUCAGUCAGUAGAGCUUGAGGAAUAUUUUUUGUUUAGAGUUACAGCAUAUGAGCUCUUAAAAUCAAACUCACACGGACCGAAAAGCCUCCAGAGUUCUUGAGUCUAAAAGUGGCUGUAACUUGUCACUAUGUAGUGAAACUUCACACCAGAGUCGAAACAUCUGCGAUACCUCACUGUUGUUUCAGGGAGACUGCAUAAGAUGGUUAUGAAAUAGUCUGAUACUUUAAAAUGGACGCUUGGUGCCUUUAAAUAAUUCAGGAAUGUGAAUCAGUGCCGCUCGACAGAAUUUGAUUAUUUUUAUCUGAAAUGUUUGUUUCAGUUCAUGUCUAGCAGUCAAACAAAUUGUUUUUCUAACAUGAGUUAAAAUGUAAAUGUUGGAUUUAUUCUGAUUGCACAAAUAAAAAGCUUUUUCCUUAAUGAAUUGUUCGUUUCAUUCAGAAAUAUGUUACAAUAUUACACCAGAUGUAUGUUUCACAAAUUAAGUUUGAGAGGGUUUGUAUAUUUUGUGCUUCAUUGUUUACUGAAAGAUGUUUACUGAUUAUAUGCUGCAUAUUUAACACUAUUUUAUCUCUGACGACUGAUAAAUGUCACCAUGUCCUAAACUGUGCUUUCAAUAAAAGUAACAUGAUCAUAAAUGGUGUCUGAAAGAAAUAGACAUUUCAGCUGUUUUCAUAUCCAUAUGAUCUCCUGAUCAGUAACAGAUGUCAAUGAUAUGAACGUCAAAUAUAUUAUGUGAAUGUUAAUAAAGUCUCUGAACUCAUGGGAUCUUCUAA